rnacentral:lncRNA from 1 species
CGGGCCCCGCGGGGAUGGAACAGCCGCCUCCUCUGGCGCCCGAGCCGGCCUCGGCGCGGAGCCGCAGGCGGCGGGAGCCCGAGUCUCCGCCGGCGCCGAUUCCUCUCUUUGGCGCUAAGACUAUUAUCCAGAGAAGUCCUGAUGAACCAGCAUUGAGCAAAGCUGAAUUUGUUGAGAAAGUUCGUCAGAGUAACCAGGCCUGCCAUGAUGGAGACUUCCACACAGCUAUUGCUUUGUACAAUGAAGCCCUGGCAGUUGAUCCUCAGAACUGCAUUCUGUAUAGCAACAGGUCUGCAGCCUACAUGAAAACACAGCAGUACCACAAGGCACUGGAUGAUGCAGUCAAAGCCCGGCUCCUGAACCCCAAAUGGCCAAAGGUCAACAUGGUGGAUGUCUCUCCAUGUCACACAGAUAAUGAAAACUGAGAUCAGGAGGAAUUGUGUGUUAACAAAAUGAAUUGACCCAGCAAGGAUUCAGUUGGAGAAGAAUAAGAUUAUUAUCAGUCAUCUUCCAUACCACUGUUGUAUAAAAGGUUUUAAUCAUGCUGGCAAGAACAUGAAGAAUUGGCAAGAAUGUAUUUAAAGUCAACUGAAUGAGAGAAAAGGUCUGGGAAAUGCAGGAUGGAAGUGAGGUUAAUUCGGAAUUAAGCAUAUGAUACAUGUUCAGACAGCAGUUUGUAUAUUCAUAUUUAAAUUAAAUAAAGGUUGCAUAAAAUCAUUUUUAUAGAUUAUU